AACCGAGAGAUACAGGAGUCCACGACGCUUCGAAGCAGAUGAAUCUCCGACGUGAGGAGAGCUGGGACUGAAGGUACGGUGGCAGUCAGCGAGGCAGCGGUGAGGAGGAGGAGAGGGGCGUUGCGAGAUUGGUGGUGACAGCUGACAACCUCGCUUAGGAUUGUCAAAGCAGGAUGGUUGUGACUGCCAGGAUGUGAGCUAUGAGGGUGCGUUGGCUUCAAUUACGAUCACUGACUCCGCCACGAGCAGCCCCCCGGGUACUUGUUCUCGCUCUGUCCACUACAUCCAGGACUGCAAAUAGAGAUGUGUUGCUCCAGAAAUGGUGUACGGAACCUUCAGACGAACGUGAGUCAGCAGACGAACGUGAGGCGGCUAGAUCACUGCAGUACCUACCUACCUUCCAUCCAGGCGAAUGGACUUGCGGCGGCUACAACACACUGCACCACCUUCAUCCCAUCCAGACAAUACAUGUGGAAACAAUGUGUGUUAGACUUUUUGGCUGCCGUGUUGUGGUAAACAAGCAUCAAUGUUUGAAGAGUUCAGAGGACUCCUUUAAAUAAAAACAUUUUUCUACCAGGAAAGGGAAGGGCUUUCUCUGGAACCUCUUCGAAGUACCGUGAACUGUGAUUUGUUAAUCAAAAUCCUGUAAUUAUGGACUUUUCCUGCAAUUAUGAA